rnacentral:rRNA from 1 species
GUGGGGAAUUUUGGACAAUGGGCGCAAGCCUGAUCCAGCAAUGCCGCGUGCAGGAAGAAGGCCUUCGGGUUGUAAACUGCUUUUGUACGGAACGAAACGGUCCGGGUUAAUACCCUGGGCUAAUGACGGUACCGUAAGAAUAAGCACCGGCUAACUACGUGCCAGCAGCCGCGGUAAUACGUAGGGUGCAAGCGUUAAUCGGAAUUACUGGGCGUAAAGCGUGCGCAGGCGGUUUUGUAAGACAGGCGUGAAAUCCCCGGGCGCAACCUGGGAAUUGCGCUUGUGACUGCAAGGCUGGAGUGCGGCAGAGGGGGAUGGAAUUCCGCGUGUAGCAGUGAAAUGCGUAGAUAUGCGGAGGAACACCGAUGGCGAAGGCAAUCCCCUGGGCCUGCACUGACGCUCAUGCACGAAAGCGUGGGGAGCAAACAGGAUUAGAUACCCGUGUAGUCC